UGGCAAGAAAAAGAUAGAAACACAGAAGUGCAGCUAGUUAUAAGAAAAAAAAACAACGUAGAAAUAACAACUAUCGCUGACACAACGACUGAAAAAGUAAAAGAUCUUCAAGCGUCUACUAAAAACAAAAAGAAGAAAGAGCCGACGACUAACAGCCCGUCAAACUUGGUUCAAGAAAGCCAAAAAGAAGAAGCCAAAAAAGUUUAAGAAUGUUGUCCGGUUGUUGCGAUCAAAGAAGAAACGGAAGCCAAUCAAAACAAGGUUACCUCUUCAAUUCCUGUUCCUUUGGACAAACCCGAAGUCGUUGAAACCGAGCCCGUCAAACCGGUGGCUAAGACGUGCGCAGGACUCUUUUCCGGUUGCCUAAGUACAAGCACCAACAAAGUUUUUAUAUUGCAUGGCAGUAGCCAGCCGGCCGCCGCCGCCAGUAACACGGAAAAUAUUGUGAUGCCGACAAGGAGUGUACCCGACAAUUCAACUACAAUUAAGUCUUCAGUAUUUGUUGCGCAGGCCAAUGAAAAACCUACACAAACUAAACCCAGGCCUUCAAGCAGCAAUUCUAUGACUAGUAUUGACGACAACUCGUCGCACUUGCAAAGAUUAGGUGAAUUUCUCUCCAGUUACAAUUUGGAACACACGAGUUAAAAAUACAACCUCGCGGCCUUGAAAACAGCAGCACAUGCUGUUACAUAUUUAUGCAACGCUUCAAGCAUUGUUAGGAUGUCCCCAGUUUUUCAGUCUUAUAAAGAGCAUUCCAUUGAAUUUGGAGAAAAGAAGUAGUACCUUAUCUCAAAAUUCAUUCACUCCGAUUCUGGAUAGCUUAUUUCAAUUUGUUGGAGAAUUCCAACAAUUAAAAUCCAACUCCGAAAAUACCCAAGAUACAACCGAAAUUGGAGAGGAUUUCAGACCUAGCUAUGUGUAAAAGAUUUUCCCAGAUUUUAAAAGAAGGCACUCAAGAAGACGCACAUGACUUUAUAGUAUUUCUUCUUAAGAGGGCGUCGCACCGGUGAUUUUCAGUGGUAAAAACAUGUUUAAGCAGACUGAAAAUAACUCGCUUAAUUUUGGUUUUAGAGUAAAA